CUUUGUCUUUACUGCAGCUUCCUUUGGCGGUAAAGCGCGGCACUUGUCAAGAUAAUCUGGACGAACAAGAUACCCAAAAUUACGCGUAUAUAUAGAUGAGAUCCGUGAGCCUGAGGUAGAGGUCCCUGCGUGCGCCGCAUCCACAGCUGCAGAGAUAUUCUAGCCACGGAUCCGGAAUACCGCCGCCAGCACCGCCGCUUCCCAGCUGACAAGGACCUCUUGCGCCUAGUACCACGUAUGGCAGAGCUUUCACGAGUCUCGGACGCAAGAAAGGUCCCGGGACAAUCGCUUUCACCGACUCCGGCCCUCUCUGCGCUGCCGCUGUCCAUUGGAAUUCCCAGCCUUCGCCUUGGACGCAGGCACCGCUCUGCUAAUUGCAAAUGAUACAUCAUAUGUCAAUUUCAUAGGUUAUUUUAUACAUGUACUCACUCGCAGUCUCAUAAUGAGUCACGGCUUGUAGCUCCGUCCUAUAUAUAUAUAUUAUGUUUUUGUUUUCUUGUGCAUAAAAUAAUUUUAAAUAAUGAUAGCGAGCUCGGUUUUACAAUGUUGUUUAUUUCAUAAAUUUUGCUCUUAUAGACAAGAAUCUACUAUGCCACAGAUGGAAAUGCGUGUAUAAGCGGGUUUAUGCGAAAACACAUUCAAAUAAAAGUUUGAGAAGAAGGACAUGUAAUAUACA